rnacentral:rRNA from 1 species
UACGUAGGAUGCAAGCGUUGUCCGGAAUUAUUGGGCGUAAAGAGCGCGCAGGCGGUCUGCCAAGUCAGAUGUGAAAGAGGCCGGCUUAACCGGCAAGGGUCAUUUGAAACUGACAGACUAGAGUGCAGCAGAGGAUAGCGGAAUUCCCGGUGUAGUGGUGAAAUGCGUAGAUAUCGGGAGGAACACCAGUGGCGAAGGCGGCUCACUGGACCAUUACUGACGCUGAUGCACGAAAGCUAGGGGAGCAAACAGG